UAGACCUGAGGCCACGCGGUGACGAUCACCACGGGCAGGGGCACCGUGGGGGCAGGAACACCCGGCAAGAAGAGCCCAGAUCCAGGGGGGUUUGUCCUGAGAGGCUGGGAAGACUCUGCCUAGCAGGGGCAGAAAGAUGCCCUUGGCUCUAGCGGGAUGGAGAACAGGGGCAGCAAAGCCAGCAAGAAGCCUUGGCAGCGCCUCAAGGAGAGGUUGGACCAGCACCGCAGUAGAGGAGACGGAAGUGAUGUAGAAGAGAUGGAGUGGGCAGACUUUGUGGACCAAUCAGACACCAGCUGGGGCUGGACACAGACCACAGGCCAGCAGGAAACCGACAGUCCUCUGCUCGCUGUGAAGCCAAGACUCAAGUUUUGCUCCAGCUUGGAGUCGGGCAUCCUGUAGCCCACCCGGACCCCAGCUGGACCACAUUCCCAAGGCCUUUCUGAUGGCGGUGAGGAGCUUGUCCGUCGGUCCACCACCCCCACCUUCGCUUCGGCACGGGAACAAACUGAGCCCAGGGUGCAGCCGAGAUCUGACGAAAGUGACACAGCGGGUUGGUGGCAGGGGUCACAUCUAGGCCCAGGCCUUCUGACUUCAGGUGGCCGGGAAGUUCAGAAUAAACGCAGGCAUGAAUGAACAGGUGUAUGAAAAUCCUG